UAUGCACUUUCCAGUACAUCUACUUUGUUGCGGCUUAUCUCCUCUGAGAAGGAGAGUGACGGGCGAUAUGUACACAUUCUAUUGCCUUGUUCAGUUUAUUUUCCUAAAAUAAGCUUACUAACAAAUCCACCUUCACCCAAAUUAUAAUUUAAGAUCCGUAUUUUUUUAAAAACUGUAGCUCACCAUUUCCUUCACAUAAACUGCACCUUGACCUGAAGUAAAAAGAUUAAUUUUAUAGAAAACAUCCUUUUGGAGUAAUCUGACAACGGAGGUAUACAAGUUAAACAAAUGAAGGUAAGAUAAAACGAGGGUUAUCGAUUACAAGACAAGCUCCUCUGUUUGGUUAGAAUGCCGCCAAAACCUUUGGGUUUGAAGAACAACUUUUACUACCCUAUCACCUAUUGUAGAGAAUAACAGGGUAUCUAAUCCUGGUUUUUGGUCUCUAUUUUUUAUAUCCCUUCAAAUAAUUAAAGAUAAUUUACUUCUUUGUAUAAAUUUCACCUAAAGAAAGAAAAUAAUAUACUCAAAAUCAUUUACUGUUAAUUAAAAUAAUAAUUUACUCUAUUUAGAUUCUUCGUCUAACCGCGACGGCUGGCACGAUU
rnacentral:rRNA from 1 species